rnacentral:rRNA from 1 species
UACGAAGGGGGCUAGCGUUGCUCGGAAUUACUGGGCGUAAAGGGCGCGUAGGCGGAUGACUAAGUCGGGGGUGAAAGCCCGGGGCUCAACCUCGGAACUGCCUUCGAUACUGGUCAUCUUGAGUACGGGAGAGGUGUGUGGAACUCCGAGUGUAGAGGUGAAAUUCGUAGAUAUUCGGAAGAACACCAGUGGCGAAGGCGACACACUGGCCCGUUACUGACGUCUGAGGCGCGAAAGCGUGGGGAGCAAACAGG